AUAAAGUGUUAACAACAAUAAUGUUCAGCAAAGUAAGAUUUACAAAUAAGUCAACAUGACCGAAAUGGUCAAUUGACCCCCUUAGGAGUUAUUGUUCUUUAUAGUCAAUUUUUAACAAUUUUCAUAAAAUUUGUAAAUUUUUACUAACAUUUUCCACUGAAACUAAUGGGCCAAGUUCAUUAUAGAUAGAGAUAAUUUUAAGCAGCAAGAAUGUUCAGUAAAGUAAGAUGUACAAACACAUCACCAUCACCAAAACACAAUUUUGUCAUGAAUCCAUCUGCUUCCUUUAAUAUUCACAUAGACCAAGGA
rnacentral:lncRNA from 1 species